rnacentral:rRNA from 1 species
AUGUGUCGGAACCUGACUUCUAUAUCGUCUAACUUCUGGUGGGGAGAAGCAAAUGGGGAGAGGAAGGUGCACUGGCUUGCAUGGAAGAAGAUGUGUAGGGCAAAGAAAGAAGGGGGAAUGGGCUUUCGGGAUCCAACAGCUUUUAACCAAGCUCUGCUAGCCAAACAAGCCUGGCGCGUGCUGCAUUACCCAGAUUCUUUGUGUGCUAGAGUGCUCAAGGCAAGGUAUUUCCCCCAUGGAUCAAUCUUGAAUGCCACCUGCCCUGUCGGCGGCUCGUUCACUUUCAGAAGUAUUAUUCAUGGUCGGGAGCUAUUGCGUGAGGGACUAGUGUGGAGGAUUGGUGAUGGCACAUCGAUUAAAAUCCACCAUGAUAACUGGCUCCCGCGCCAGGGAAGCCUCAAGCCACUUGGGCAGCAGUAUAUUACAGGGAUCACUCAUGUGCGCCACCUCCUGAAUGAAUCCGGUGUUGCAUGGGACAUGGCCAAGGUGGAAAGGAUGUUUACUCCUGGGGAUGCGGAGGAUAUAAAGCAGAUUGUGAUAGGUGGACCGAAUAUGAGGGAUUAUGUGGCAUGGAACUUCACCAAUAAUGGACAAUUUUCAAUCAAGUCGGCAUAUCAUCUCCGCAUGAGUUUAAGUGGUGUCAAGACCGGAUAG